rnacentral:lncRNA from 1 species
AAAGGAAUAAACAUAUUGAAGAAGAAAUAAAUCUAAUGAGUGUCGAAGAUGAAUUGAUUUUUAUUUUAUUUUAAAUUUUUAUGUUUUUUUUUUUAAUUUUAAUUUCUAUGUUUUUUUAUAUUUUAUAUUUUAUAAUUUAUUAAGUAUUAAUAAUAAGUUAUUUUAAAUACAUUAAAUUUUGGGCUAAAUUGUUAAAAAAAUUACAUAUCAUC